rnacentral:rRNA from 1 species
GAUGAACGCUGGCGGUAUGCUUAACACAUGCAAGUCGAACGGACUCUUCGGAGUUAGUGGCGGACGGGUGAGUAACGCGUGAGAAUCUGGCUUUGGGUUCGGGACAACCACUGGAAACGGUGGCUAAUACCGGAUGUGCCGAGAGGUAAAAGAGAAAUUGCCUGAAGAUGAGCUCGCGUCUGAUUAGCUAGUUGGUGAGGUAAAGGCUCACCAAGGCAGCGAUCAGUAGCCGGUCUGAGAGGAUGACCAGCCACACUGGGACUGAGACACGGCCCAGACUCCUACGGGAGGCAGCAGUGGGGAAUUGUCCGCAAUGGGCGAAAGCCUGACGGAGCAAUACCGCGUGAGGGAAGAAGGCUCUUGGGUUGUAAACCUCUUUUCUUAGGGAAGAACAAAAUGACGGUACCUAAGGAAUCAGCAUCGGCUAACUCCGUG